rnacentral:rRNA from 1 species
GCAUUAGCUAGUUGGUGGGGUACCGGUUCACCAAGGCCACGAUGCAUAGCCGACCUGAGAGGGUGAUCGGCCACACUGGGACUGAGACACGGCCCAGACUCCUACGGGAGGCAGCAGUAGGGAAUCUUCGGCAAUGGACGAAAGUCUGACCGAGCAACGCUGCGUGAGUGAAGAAGGUUUUCGGAUCGUAAAACUCUGUUGUUAGAGAAGAACAAGGAUGAGAGUAGAACGUUCAUCCCUUGACGGUAUCUAACCAGAAAGCCACGGCUAACUACGUGCCAGCAGCCGCGGUAAUACGUAGGUGGCAAGCGUUGUCCGGAUUUAUUGGGCGUAAAGCGAGCGCAGGCGGUUUCUUAAGUCUGAUGUGAAAGCCCCCGGCUCAACCGGGGAGGGUCAUUGGAAACUGGGAGACUUGAGUGCAGAAGAGGAGAGUGGAAUUCCAUGUGUAGCGGUGAAAUGCGUAGAUAUAUGGAGGAACACCAGUGGCGAAGGCGGCUCUCUAGUCUGUAACUGACGCUGAGGCUCGAAAGCGUGGGGAGCGAACAGGAUUAGAUACCCUGGUAGUCCACGCCGUAAAC